rnacentral:pre_miRNA from 1 species
GUUAAUCAAUGAGCAAAGAAAGUGGUUUCUUGAGAUGGAAUCUACUCUUGGUGAAGAUUGUUGAAA